AUGAACGCUGGCGGCGUGCCUAAUACAUGCAAGUCGAGCGAACAGACGAGGAGCUUGCUCCUCUGACGUUAGCGGCGGACGGGUGAGUAACACGUGGAUAACCUACCUAUAAGACUGGGAUAACUUCGGGAAACCGGAGCUAAUACCGGAUAAUAUAUUGAACCGCAUGGUUCAAUAGUGAAAGACGGUUUUGCUGUCACUUAUAGAUGGAUCCGCGCCGCAUUAGCUAGUUGGUAAGGUAACGGCUUACCAAGGCAACGAUGCGUAGCCGACCUGAGAGGGGGACGGCCCACAGGGGAACUGAAACAGGCACCAGCCCCCGGGGGGGGGCAGAGGAGGGAAAUCUUCCGAAGUGGCGGAAACCCGGACGAAACACCGCGGGGUGAGAGAAAAAGGUCUUCGGUCCGAAAACCUUUUUUAUUGGGGAAAAAAAAAUGUAAAAGUAACUGUCCACGUCUGGACGGGACCAAAUCAAAAAGCCACGGCUAACUACGCG
rnacentral:rRNA from 1 species